rnacentral:rRNA from 1 species
AUGCAAUUUUGUAUUUUCAACGACUACAAUAAUAAUUAUUUACUUUGCAAGGACGUAAGUGUGUCAGACUGCUUCCCUAAUCCAAGAUUGGAGAAAGAAGAUCUAAGAGGGACCUAUGGAGAAUGUAGUCAGAAAUCCAUAAUAGAGUCCGACCACAACGAGUGAGUAAACAGAAUUCCAUACUCGAUCUCCAAGAAUGUGAGACCAUUAACACGGUUAAAGCUAAACUGCUUGAAGCGCUUUCAUUACAUCAAUGUGGAUUACCUCUAG